ACGCUCGACACCUACGGGGGGCAGCAGUAGGGAAUCUUCCACAAUGGGCGCAAGCCUGAUGGAGCAACACCGCGUGAGUGAAGAAGGGUUUCGGCUCGUAAAGCUCUGUUGUUGGAGAAGAACGUGCGUGAGAGUAACUGUUCACGCAGUGACGGUAUCCAACCAGAAAGUCACGGCUAACUACGUGCCAGCAGCCGAGGUAAUCUGAGCGGGCUGGCAAGGC
rnacentral:rRNA from 1 species